UACGUAGGGGGCAAGCGUUGUCCGGAUUCAUUGGGCGUAAAGAGCGUGUAGGCGGCCAGGUAGGUCGGUUGUGAAAACUGGAGGCUCAACCUUCAGAGGUCGACCGAAACCAUCUGGCUAGAGUCCGGGAGAGGAGAGUGGAAUUCCUGGUGUAGCGGUGAAAUGCGCAGAUAUCAGGAAGAACACCCGUGGCGAAAGCGGCUCUCUGGAACGGUACUGGACGCUGAGGAGCGAAAGCGUGGGGAGCGAACAGG
rnacentral:rRNA from 1 species